ACUUAAAAGUAUCGUGUGUAGUAGACUUCUCCUGGCAAAAGGCAGGCUAGCUGGGAUCAAGAGUGGGGCAAAUGUUGUCACAGCACCGGCCCGCCACGCGUGACAAGAGCAAACGCUGAAGUAACCUGACAAACUCUCACGCUCUAACACUGGCUGCUGGCUGGACAUACUUGCAGUUACUAGUAGACCUCGCUGACUAAUAAAGACUUUCUGCACUGCUGUUGAGGAAUUUUGCUCUGGUGCAUGUGUUCACAUACGGAAUGUAUUUUAUAUCCGUUGCCAGGUUGGAGUCGGAGUGACAAGUUGACGAGCGCCUGCGUGCAAGGCGCGACAUGCAUCUAAUUCCUGGGUGUAUCCAACUAAUUACAUGGUGUUUUUUUUCGUGACUUAUAAAGGACACUAAAACGUGAAUCAGCUUGCUUUUUGAAAUAUAAGUGAAAGAGAGAAAUUUGAAAACAACAACCACUUAAAGGUUGUUUCACGCAUGGACCUCCGAUAGAACAAAUGUGCCCAAGCUUUAGAUCCGUAGCCGAGUGGAAAUGUCAAUGAGGGAGAGUGGCGAGAAGGGAGGGGGAAAAGUGCGCUCCUUAGCAGCCCAACUUUCUCGUCAGCAUCAAGCUGAGCCCUCCUGUGAUUGGCUGCGGCUGCAGGCUGCGUCACAGCUCAGGCGCGACGCCGGACGCAGAAAGUGCCUCAUCGAGGUAGCCUGGCCCGGCGUGGGCGGGACCCUUCACGAAUCAAGCUGGAAUAAGUUGCUAUCUGGCUCCAUAAAACAGUCCUAUAAUCGGGCUCUGGCUUUUAGCGAGGAAGGCUAAAAGCCCAGCGAGUCUCUCUCACAAGAUGACGUGCCUGUGUUUUGUGUCAAUUUGAACAAGGCGGCGAGUAAAUACAUGGACAACGGUGACGACCGUGCGUCUCCCAGGAAGUGGACACACAUCGAGGACGGCGCUCAGACAGGUAUGGACCGGCCAGGUCUGGUCUGCUUGUUCCAUUAUUAUUUGGAGGGACGUCCAUUAGGCGCGGCGGUACCGUGCAACGCAGCAGGGUGCUCGACUCUCACCCUUUGCUUAUCAGGCUGUCAAUAAACAGAGACGGGCUGCAGCGGUUAAAGCCAGGUGCUGCCUUUCCCUGCACCCCCACCGCUCUCCAUAAGCUGAUCAGGCGUGAACGCAAAUCUGUCCACUGCCAUUCUCCCUCGACCGUCACCACGCUGCACACCGCCAGCCCUCCUUAAAAGCACGCGUGCACUCAUUGUUUUAUGAGAAACGGGUCUUUACAGUUACUAUUUUACAGCUAUACCGCACAUGUCCAUCCCCGUCUCCAUGGUGACCACGCGCGUGUACACGGUGGGCCUUUGCGCUCUUGUUCUUGAUUCGCGUGUAUAAACUUUGAGACAAAUGACGUCAGGAUGGACGCUGCCUGAUUGUCUUACCAGUGAUUAAUUGCACUUUACAUUGUUUGUUUGACUUUAUCCUUGCCUUGAUUGAGUUUUUUUCGUUCCAUGAAAAAAACUUCAGCUAACUGAGCGUCUACUUUUUGUUUCUUCUUUGGCUUUUUGUAACAUCCACCACAGACGUGACAGUAAUGACAAGUAGAAAAACAUUUGUCACUACAAAAGCAAAAAAUGAAUAUUGAUUGUUGAUUUGAACCUGAUGCAAGAAUUAGCCACACUUAUGAGUUCCAUGCAGUAUGCAAUUGACUGCUCUUUCUCCAUGUCAGUCGUCUUCAGUAGUGCAUGUAAACUUUUUUUUUAAAUUAAUCUGUCAGAAAUCAAAAUCUCAUUUGUAGUUUUUUUAUACGACCAUAAAGCGAAUUCUGAAGUGAAUUCUCGUGAAAAAUGAUUCUAAAAUUACAACAACUUGCGAGUCAACCAUCUUUGUGUUCACCUUUAGGUCACACGGCCAACUACAUUAACUGGUCAUUAUGCAAUCAUUUGCUGUUAUUGCAAAUGACGAUAGCAUUUUUUUAGUUUUUGAAGGCCUGUUGCUGCUUCUUGCUGCUGCUUGCCCCUCAAAACAACAGGCAUGCAUUCAAUGUGCUCCACUGAUAUAUUCAGUUUAAGACACAGUGUCCAAAGUGUGUAUAGCCUAAUUACCUCCCGCACACACACCCUGACUAUAUCUCUCUCCCCCCGUGUGUGAAAUGUUUUAAUAAGCCCCUCCACGCUCUCCAGUGUGCGGUUUGAUUUGUUUUCCCUCCCCGCUCCCGCGGCUCUGGAUGGAGACAUUAGCCGAAUUCCCCCGGGGUGAUUGGAUGCAAUUUGUCCGGAGUAGACAGCCACGGCCUGGAUGUUAGGAAUUCACUUUGGCUCAACGUGACAAGGCUGACUUCGAUCUACGAUUGCAUCUGAAAGUGCAGCGGGCGGAAAGAUGCCAUGCCAUUAAGUGUCAUCCCCCCCCAUUCUCGUUUCUUUUUCCCAAAUAACAAGAUCUUCUCAUUUUAUUCACAUAUUUGCAUAACAGUUUCACCUCUGAUGCGCACCACUCAAACAGUAAAUCCACGACCCUUUAAAUUACAUUAAUUAAAGAUUGACAGCUCUGGAUUAAACAAAUACCUGACUGACACCUGACACGACAUUUGAUUGUGUCUACGCGUCCCGUUCUCUCUCUCGCUUCUUUUAUUUAUUUUUUUUUUAUUUCCUGUGCGCAUUCACCACUCUCCGUGGCCACUAGUGGCUGAAGAAGUCAGUGUCCGUGUCGCGCUCUGAGUUGACAGGGGAAAAUGGGAGCUAACGAGCUUGUCAGCUGUCCUGACAAGACAAAUGGGAGCUCGUCACUCACCGCGCUUUAAUAACGUUUAAUGGAAGCGUAUUGAGCCUUUCAAAAAAUAAAAGUGUUACACACACGUGCGCUGUGCUUAAUUACGCACGGCGAGGUAAAUUGCGCGUCAGCUAAAGGGCGUUGGCCUGUGCCCAGCACCGUCACACAUGAGCCGAUCCAUUCAACUUGCACUACUCGCAUCCAACCUUCAUUCGGUCAGACAAUUAAUAAACACAUACACUCCUUCAUAGGACUAUGCCGACUAGUCAAAUUUGUUUCAAGAGAACAUGGCUUUUUGCGCAUGAAACUUUCACAAAUUUGCAAAAUAGAGCACAGAUUUCACCGCCCUAAAACUAAUAGAAAUAAUAUUUGGCACACGUGUUUUCUAAGAAUCUGUUAGCAUAUUAUUUCGAUUUCAAUGUGUUUUCAAUGUAAGAUUUUAAAAUAAACAAAGCUUCCACUUGUUCAAUAAAAUGAGAUCAACGUGAGAGAGGAAGCAUUAUCUUGAUCUGCAGUGAUAUCAUUUGUAUAGUUCCAAGGAAACAAAAAUAUAAGUUUUACUGCAUGCUCCACAACCGCAAUAAUAAAAUAUUGUGUAUUAAUUUGUGCACUACCAUUCCAAACUAUAAGCGUCAUCUUAGAAAAGGCAAGUAUGUUAAUCUACAUAGGAUUCUGAAGGUGUACCUAAUGAUUUGACCUGUUUUGCGUUUUUUUCGUUUUGUUUUGUUUUUAGUCACGUGCAAGUCACCUAGAAGCUUGGCUCUCGGUUUGCACGGAGGGGCUUCCCCCUAUUACUCGAGCUGGAUGACUUUAGUGAAUAAAGCUGAAGUUGUUCAUUCUUGUGUGUAAUUCAUGGUGUGUGAUAGCCAACAUCACGGUGGUAGUUGCGGUCCUGAUGCGCUAUCCCCCGGGCACAGCUUAGGCUACACGAUGGUGAGUUGAAAAUAAAUAUAUCUAUUACAAUUUGUAUUUGAUCUCAUAGGAAAUUGAAAAAAAAAUGUGCGGCUGUGUCGAACAUUAUGGACGUUGUAAUUAAAGAAAACGCAUGGUGGUUCAGUUCCACACGAUUCAACAAGCACAGUGAAUGACAGGUGACCAGAUGGCAUUUGUAAAGAUCUCUGCCUUUUUUUCCACUUUUCCCUGAUUGGAGGGAGCGUGAGGAUAUUCAUCAUUCUACUAAUGUUUGUAACCUACACACUCUUGCGCACUUUUUCUUUCUGUGUUUUGGGGAGAAAGGCGCACCUGCUGCAGAGGAGCGCCUCCAGAGAGGAUCAGAUAUAUUCUUGCGUAAACCUGGGGAGGGGGGACUCGCCAUGAGUAUAUUGUCAAUCUGAACAGAUGUUUUAGUGAGAAUACAAUAACGAGCAAACACAGACAUUAUUUUCAUUUUAAAAUUAGGGCUAGGAUGGAGAAGAAUUGUAAUUACCGUCGACGACAGACAUUUUGUGAAGAAACAACAGUUUAAAAAAUCAUGUGCGUGUUUAUAUCAAGUCACAGUAGCCCAAAAUAAUUUUCACGAAGAAAACCACAAAAUAGAGGGUGUUAAUGUUACCAUACCACAGGCCAGAGCAGCCAGCUCUAUUAUUUUCGUGCGUAAAACUACAAUAAGUACACAUGAUUACGCGCAGGCGGUCGUUAAAAGAAUGUGACAACGUGAGCGCAUAUCUUUGAGAUACGUAUACAAGGAUUCGACGCUGCGAGACGCGCAGGAAAAAAAUACUGGGCGGCGCAAAAGCAACACACUAAAUCAGGCAAUAACGACGACAAACCGUGUGGAAAAUGGACGCACAUAUCGUGCAGCAAGAAAUCACUCCUUCCUCCCGCCCUAUCCUGCUUCUUUCCUCUCUGCCUCUCAUUGGAUGACAAAGCCUGUGGUGAAGUAAAUAUUUUGAGGAUAAUUGAACUGAUUGUUAGUUGCAAGUUUCUAUGUCUUGAAUAUAAAAGGCGAGUGCGCAUUCACGGUGUCUCCCAGUCCUAUUCGGCCACAUUCAUAUUCAUAAUGUGCCCGAUCCUAACUCGCGAAGAUGCAUUUCUGCAGGAUGUGUCAUGAUGCAUUAUUUCUUUGCGCGUCAGCUUGUUGUGUCUGGAAAAUAAAUAAAUAAAUUAAGCCUCGGAGGAUCUGACACUGUAGCUCGUUGUUAAAUGUCACGUAAGUUUGACCUCUUAAAAAAAUAAAUAAUAAUAAUAAUAAUAAUUAAAAACGGUGAUCUCACGGCAAAUGGGUCUCGGGAGAU